rnacentral:rRNA from 1 species
UACGUAGGUGGCAAGCGUUGUUCGGAAUUAUUGGGCGUAAAGGGCGCGUAGGCGGUUUGUUAAGUCGGCUGUGAAAGCCCGGGGCUCAACCCCGGAGGGUCAGCCGAUACUGGCAGACUAGAGUACGGAAGAGGUAGCUGGAAUUCUCGGUGUAGCGGUGAAAUGCGUAGAGAUCGGGAGGAAGGCCGGUGGCGAAGGCGGCGCUCUGGAACGUACCUGACGCUGAGACACGAAAGCGUGGGGAGCAAACAGG